rnacentral:snRNA from 1 species
GUGCUCGCUUCGGCAGCACAUAUACUAAAAUUAGAACGAUACAGAGGAGAUUAGCACGGUCCCCUUGCAAGGAUGACACACAAAUUCUUGAAGCGAUCCAUAUUUUU